rnacentral:tRNA from 1 species
UCCCUGGUGGUCAGUGGUUAGCACGCGGCACUUUCACUGCCAUGACCCAGGUUUAAUCCCUGGUGAGGGAG